ACACCCUCAAGCUCUGCUUGGUGUUGGGCGUCUGUCCCGCCGCUUGUCGGCGUGAGGACUCGCCUCAAAGGUAUUGGCAGCGGCCUAUGCCAGCCUCUCGCGCAGCGAAGAUUGCGUCGAACGAGGCGUGGCGCCGGGCUCGCGUCCACGAAGCUUACCACG
rnacentral:misc_RNA from 1 species